UACGUAGGGGGCAAGCGUUGUCCGGAAUCAUUGGGCGUAAAGAGCGCGUAGGCGGCCCGGUAAGUCCGCUCUGAAAGUCAAAGGCUCAACCUUUGAAAGCGGGUGGAUACUGCCGGGCUAGAGUCCGGAAGAGGCGAGUGGAAUUCCUGGUGUAGCGGUGGAAUGCGCAGAUAUCAGGAGGAACACCAACGGCGAAGGCAGCUCGCUAGGACGGUACUGACGCUGAGGCGCGAAAGCGUGGGGAGCGAACAGGAUUAGAAACC
rnacentral:rRNA from 1 species